UGUCGUGGCAAAACUUAAUUUCUACUGAUUCCAUUGUCUAGAAGAGAGAAGGACUUCAGCUUCACUCCAACGACGUGUAAGACUGCUGAAAAAAGAUGCACAGUAAUCAUCCCGCUAAAGCAGAACUACACUGUCAUCGUAUUAAAGG